GAUGAUUUGACAUGGAUUAUAUGUUGGUAACAGCAUCUGACUCUGAUGAGGAGCCAUUCCAUGCUGCCUUCCUUCUGAGGUCGUC